rnacentral:rRNA from 1 species
AAAGACUCGCUAAUACCGCAUAUGACGAAAGUUGAAAGGAGUAAUCCGUCUAAAGAUGAAGCCCGUGUCCGAUUAGCUAGUUGGUAGAGUAAAAAGCCUACCAAGGCGACGAUCGGUAGCUGGUCUGAGAGGAUGAUCAGCCACAAUGGGACUGAGACACGGCCCAUACUCCUACGGGAGGCAGCAGUGGGAAUUUUACGCAAUGGGCGAAAGCCUGACGUAGCGACACCGCGUGAGCGAAGAAGCCCCUUGGGGUGUAAAGCUCUGUCAGCUGGAACGAAAAAAAUGACGGUACCAGCAGAGGAAGCAUCGGCUAACUACGUG